rnacentral:rRNA from 1 species
AGUGUACGCUGGCGGUAGGCCUAACACAUGCAAGUCGAACGGCAGCACAGGAGAGCUUGCUCUCUGGGUGGCGAGUGGCGGACGGGUGAGGAAUACAUCGGAAUCUACUCUGUCGUGGGGGAUAACGUAGGGAAACUUACGCUAAUACCGCAUACGACCUACGGGUGAAAGCAGGGGACCUUCGGGCCUUGCGCGAUUGAAUGAGCCGAUGUCGGAUUAGCUAGUUGGCGGGGUAAAGGCCCACCAAGGCGACGAUCCGUAGCUGGUCUGAGAGGAUGAGCAGCCACACUGGAACUGAGACACGGUCCAGACUCCUACGGGAGGAAGCAGUGGGGAAUAUUGGACAAUGGGCGCAAGCCUGAUCCAGCCAUACCGCGUGGGUGAAGAAGGCCUUCGGGUUGUAAAGCCCUUUUGUUGGGAAAGAAAUCCAGCUGGCUAAUACCCGGUUGGGAUGACGGUACCCAAAGAAUAAGCACCGGCUAACUUCGUGCCAGCCGCCGCCGUAA